CCUCUCCAUCCCCAGUCAGGGAUAGGAAGGUGAUUGAAGGUGCUGUAGGCGGUCCCUCUCAGUCCAGUGAAAGACAACAUAAUGGUACAAUAUCCAGUUACUCCCACCUCAUCAGCUCACCUGGGCUCCAGCUGCAUCUCAUCUUCAAUCAAGCCAUCUUUUUUUCUUCUUCUGGGAACUCCUUCUCCAAACAUUAAAGAGACAUGGAUAAAGGAUACAGCUGAGGAGAUUUCAAAUGAGUUAUCGUCGGAAGAGUUAGAUAGGAUCAAAGGAAUGCUAGAUUUAAACUUUUUCAGUUUUAAAAUGAUAUAGCUUCACUUUUCCAAGACAAACUAAACAGAAUCUUUUCUUAUUUCUCUGUUACCUGUGAUAAGUGUGAGUCAGGUGACUGGACUUUAGGUCAUCUUUUCUGGUCUUGGCAUAAACUCAAGAGUGUCCGGAAUGAUAUUUUUUUAUUUGUACAUAUACAGUAAACAGCUAAUCUAUUGUGAUAUUACACUGUAGGCUAUCGCAAUCAUCAUCUAAGUGACAUGCAUGUAAAAAGAAAUCUCUGCAAACUGGCUAUUUGUUUUACAUUGUCAAGUCUAGUUGUUUUUUAUCUUUUGUGUUAUAAAAAAAGGAAAAUAAUACUUAAACAUGUAUUUAAAGAGAACUGUUCUCCAUUGCAAUAAAUACUCUGAACACUUCCACUAACCAUGACAGAUGUUCUGCAUAUUUAGCAAUUUUGUAAAUAUUGUCUGUGAAUUUCGUCUUGUGGUAAUAUAUGAAAAUGUCUGUUGUGUUAGUCAUGUGUCUAAUCUGAUGUUGAUAUUUCUCUAAAUGUGAUGUUACUGACAUUGCUCUAAUGAGUUUACCCAACGUGCUGUACGGAAAGCAAAUUGCACAAACCUUGUGUGGUCAUUAAUAAUAAAUGUUUGAAUGAAUGAUUGAAAAUGAUUUCUCUUGAGAUUUCUGAGCUGUUUAUCUGUCAUAAGUUAAAUGCUGAUUGUUGCUUAUUUGGUCAUGAAUAUUAAAUUCUAUAGAGUAAUUCUUAAGUUUUGAAACCAAGUUUUCAGGGGCUUUAAGUUAGCAUUAUUGUUUUCAACCAAGACAAGAAUAUGUUCCUAAC
rnacentral:lncRNA from 1 species